AAGGUCUUUAAGGGAGGAAGUGUAAUAGAUGCACGACAGGCAUAAACAAGAACAACAAAACAGGUGUUAUGUGUACAUCGGAGUUCCUGUUUUGCUCAUCCCUCACCACCCCACCCUCCACACACUAACAUCCCUUUCUUCCCCCCACCAGCUGUAAAAGAUCCUCUGCGAAAGACAUUGGCUCUUUUUUUUAAUCCCCCAAAUAAAUUUUGCCCCCUUUUAGGCCAUGUUCCAUUAUCUCUUAAAAUUGGAACCUAAUUCGAGAGGAAGUAAGAAGGGUCUGUUCUGUGGCUGAGCUAGGUGAACCCCGGGGUAGGGGAAAGAUGUUAACACCUUUGACGUCUUUGGAGUUGACAUGGAACAGCAGGUAGUUGUUAUGUAGAGCUAGUUCUCAAAGCUGCCCUGCCUGUUUUAGGAGGCGUUCCACAAACAGAUUGAGGAUCUUUUAGAAUUGAAUUUACUCUUCAGUAUUUUCUAAUGUUCAGCUUUCUAAAAGGCAUAUAUUUUUCAAAGAAGUGAGGAUGCAGUUUCUCACGUUGCAACCUAUUCUGAAGUGGUUUAAAUGGUAUCUCUUAGUAACUUGCACUCGUUAAAGAAACACGGAGCUGGGCCAUCGUCAGAACUAAGUCAGGGAAGGAGAUGGAUGAGAAGGCCAGAAUCAUUCCUAGUACAUUUGCUAACACUUUAUUGAGAAAUUGACCAUGAAUUAAUGGACUCAUCUUAAUUUCUUCUUAGUCCAUCUAUAGAUACACAUCUCAAGUGCAUCUAUUCCCACU
rnacentral:lncRNA from 1 species